CUGUACUGCUUGCCUCUUCAGCUGGAAAAAAAGGGGUUUAUUUUAUGUUUUACAACCAAAUAUUCAUAUCUGCAAGUGCCUUGAUUUGCAAGGUAAUGUCUGAGCAUAGUUCGGUUCCCCUCUCCAUGUGUUGGACCAUUGGCACUUUUUCAAACUGGUGUGAAAACCACUGGGUUAGGCCAAUUAGUUGUAAUUUACAACCCCUGUUUUUCCAGCUGCUCUGUUCUGCAACUUCCAUGAUGCUUAUGCAGUUUUAUGCCUGAUGAAGCAUAUUGUGAGGGUUGCACUCAACAUCAGCAGGAAUGACAGAGAAGUGAUUGUUUAUUACUGCCAUAUUUUAAUGUAUCAAUUAUGCCUAAUUUAGACACGUGGG